CGUAGUUUAGACAGCGGUCGUCCUCGGCUAAUUAUAAAUUCACCUAAAUUAACCGUCGUGAUCCCAUGAAGCCCCCUGAAUCACUGUGACACAACAAUUUGAAAGCUGAGAAAGUGCCAGCGAGGGAAGCAUUGUUUUGUUGGCCUAAAUAGACGCGAAAGCUUUGUCUUGCCGAUUUGUUAGCUUUCUCUUUCAUCAUCUUACCAAUAUUUUCACACUUGCUGGCAAAGUUUUAGCUGAGAAUUCAGGUUGGGAAAUAUAUUUGGCCGAUUCAACAGCGGGAAAGAGACUUCAAUCGCCACUUUUCUGAACUAAAUACUAAGCACAAUGGUAAACUCUUGCAACUCGAGGUCACCUAUUCUUUUGGAUACACCAGAACGACCAACCGGCACGGGGGGGAAUACAACAGUAAUUGAAAUACCUGACAGUAAUGAACGAAGUCACCCGAGAAGAAGACGUCUCGAGUCUGUGGAUGGUGUCAUCAUAGCUGAUAACUCAAAGAGAGCCCGUGUUGAUGUACCCGUUAUUGAUCUGACCACUGAUAAUGAAGAUGAGAGCUCCUCCGUUGACAAUAACGCUGACAGCCAAAGUUUCCUUCGAACCCUCGAAAGCUCGCCAUAUUACGCUGAGAUCAUGCGUGGUCGCUUCCUCUCAGACCAUAACAGAUUACGUAUAAGACGAGCUAUGUCAUUACGUCAUCGUCAAUCAUCACACCACGCAAGUCAUCCAGUGGAAGAGCGUCAUAA